rnacentral:rRNA from 1 species
GAUGAACGCUGGCGGCGUGCUUAACACAUGCAAGUCGAACGAGAAGUGAAGACGGAUACCUUCGGGCGGAAGGCGUUAUUUCGAUUGGCGGACGGUGGAGUAACGCGUGGGUAACCUGCCUCAUACAGGGGGAUAACAGUUGGAAACGACUGUUAAUACCGCAUAAGACCACAGCACCGCAUGGUGCGGGGGUAAAAACUCCGGUGGUAUGAGAUGGACCCGCGUUCGAUUAGCCAGUUGUCGGGGUAACGGCCCACCAAAGCGACGAUCGAUAGCCGAUCUGAGAGGAUGACCGGCCACAUUGAGACUGAGACACGGCCCAAACUCCUACGGGAGGCAGCAGUGGGGAAUAUUGCACAAUGGCGGAAACCCUGAUGCAGCGACGCCGCGUGAAUGAAGAAGUAUUGCGGUAUGUAAAGCUCUAUCAGCAGGGAAGAAAAUGACGGUACCUGAGUAAGAAGCCCCGGCUAACUACGUG